rnacentral:misc_RNA from 1 species
UUAAAUUCAGGGGGUCUUCCCACUUCAUCUGAGGUCUAAUUCAUAGAUGUACAAAUUUGUUUACUCAAACAUUCACCUAAACAACAAACAGUUUCCUGUCUAUUGUCUAAACAAGCGCUCAAGCUCACUCCUUCGUUCAUUUGUUUCUUUUGGCUUCAAAACAUAGGGUCGGUGGAUUGUAUUCACAAUUAAGUGAAAGC